GACGAACGCUGGCGGCGUGCCUAAUACAUGCAAGUGGGACGCAAGGAAACACACUGUGCUUGCACACCGUGUUUUCUUGAGUCGCGAACGGGUGAGUAACGCGUAGGUAACCUGCCUAUUAGCGGGGGAUAACUAUUGGAAACGAUAGCUAAUACCGCAUAAUAUUAAUUAUUGCAUGAUAAUUGAUUGAAAGAUGCAAGCGCAUCACUAGUAGAUGGACCUGCGUUGUAUUAGCUAGUUGGUAAGGUAAGAGCUUACCAAGGCGACGAUACAUAGCCGACCUGAGAGGGUGAUAGGCCACACUGGGACUGAGACACGGCCCAGACUCCUACGGGAGGCAGCAGUAGGGAAUCUUCGGCAAUGGACGAAAGGCUGACCGAGCAACGCCGCGUGAGUGAAGAAGGUUUUCGGAUCGUAAAGCUCUGUUGUAAGUCAAGAAAGUGUGUGAGAGUGGAAAGUUCACACAGUGACGGUAGCUUACCAGAAAGGGACGGCUAACUACGUG
rnacentral:rRNA from 1 species